rnacentral:rRNA from 1 species
AGAGUUUGAUCAUGGCUCAGAUUGAACGCUGGCGGCAGGCCCAACACAUGCAAGUCGAACGGUAACAGGAAGCAGCUUGCUGCUUCGCUGACGAGUGGCGGACGGGUGAGUAAUGUCUGGGAAGCUGCCUGAUGGAGGGGGAUAACUACUGGAAACGGUAGCUAAUACCGCAUAAUGUCGCAAGACCAAAGAGGGGGACCUUCGGGCCUCUUGCCAUCGGAUGUGCCCAGAUGGGAUUAGCUUGUUGGUGGGGUAACGGCUCACCAAGGCGACGAUCCCUAGCUGGUCUGAGAGGAUGACCAGCCACACUGGAACUGAGACACGGUCCAGACUCCUACGGGAGGCAGCAGUGGGGAAUAUUGCACAAUGGGCGCAAGCCUGAUGCAGCCAUGCCGCGUGUAUGUAGAAGGCCUUCGGGUUGUAAAGUACUUUCAGCGGGGAGGAAGGGAGUAAAGUUAAUACCUUUGCUCAUUGACGUUACCCGCAGAAGAAGCACCGGCUAACUCCGUGCCAGCAGCCGCGGUAAUACGGAGGGUGCAAGCGUUAAUCGGAAUUACUGGGCGUAAAGCGCACGCAGGCGGUUUGUUAAGUCAGAUGUGAAAUCCCCGGGCUCAACCUGGGAACUGCAUCUGAUACUGGCAAGCUUGAGUCUCGUAGAGGGGGGUAGAAUUCCAGGUGUAGCGGUGAAAUGCGUAGAGAUCUGGAGGAAUACCGGUGGCGAAGGCGGCCCCCUGGACGAAGACUGACGCUCAGGUGCGAAAGCGUGGGGAGCAAAUAGGAUUAGAUACCCUGGUAGUCCACGCCGUAAACGAUGUCGACUUGGAGGUUGUGCCCUUGAGGCGUGGCUUCCGGAGCUAACGCGUUAAGUCGACCGCCUGGGGAGUACGGCCGCAAGGUUAAAACUCAAAUGAAUUGACGGGGGCCCGCACAAGCGGUGGAGCAUGUGGUUUAAUUCGAUGCAACGCGAAGAACCUUACCUGGUCUUGACAUCCACGGAAGUUUUCAGAGAUGAGAAUGUGCCUUCGGGAACCGUGAGACAGGUGCUGCAUGGCUGUCGUCAGCUCGUGUUGUGAAAUGUUGGGUUAAGUCCCGCAACGAGCGCAACCCUUAUCCUUUGUUGCCAGCGGUCCGGCCGGGAACUCAAAGGAGACUGCCAGUGAUAAACUGGAGGAAGGUGGGGAUGACGUCAAGUCAUCAUGGCCCUUACGACCAGGGCUACACACGUGCUACAAUGGCGCAUACAAAGAGAAGCGACCUCGCGAGAGCAAGCGGACCUCAUAAAGUGCGUCGUAGUCCGGAUUGGAGUCUGCAACUCGACUCCAUGAAGUCGGAAUCGCUAGUAAUCGUGGAUCAGAAUGCCACGGUGAAUACGUUCCCGGGCCUUGUACACACCGCCCGUCACACCAUGGGAGUGGGUUGCAAAAGAAGUAGGUAGCUUAACCUUCGGGAGGGCGCUUACCACUUUGUGAUUCAUGACUGGGGUGAAGUCGG